GAUGAACGCUAGCGACAGGCUUAACACAUGCAAGUCGAGGGGCAGCAUAAAAGUAGCAAUACUUUGGUGGCGACCGGCGCACGGGUGAGUAACGCGUAUGCAACCUACCUAUCAGAGGGGAAUAACCCGGCGAAAGUCGGACUAAUACCGCAUAAAACAGGGACACCGCAUGGUGAUAUUUGUUAAAGAAAUUCGCUGAUAGAUGGGCAUGCGUUCCAUUAGGUAGUUGGUGAGGUAACGGCUCACCAAGCCGACGAUGGAUAGGGGAACUGAGAGGUUGGUCCCCCACACUGGUACUGAGACACGGACCAGACUCCUACGGGAGGCAGCAGUGAGGAAUAUUGGUCAAUGGGCGAGAGCCUGAACCAGCCAAGUCGCGUGAAGGAAGAAGGAUCUAUGGUUCGUAAACUUCUUUUGCAGGGGAAUAAAGUUCAGGACGUAUCCUGUUUUGUAUGUACCCUGAGAAUAAGGAUCGGCUAACUCCGUGCCAGCAGCCGCGGU
rnacentral:rRNA from 1 species